CCAGAGCUGAUGAAGUGAGCGAGUGAAGACCCUGUCGCUGCUGCCAAAGUACCACCGAGGACCCAGUAGGGAACCGGUUCUUAGGAUUUUGGGAGAUCAUCACUG